rnacentral:rRNA from 1 species
GUGCCAGCAGCCGCGGUAAGACAGGGGUCUCAAGCGUUAAUCGGAAUCACUGGGCUUAAAGGGUGCGUAGGCGGCCGAGCAAGUGUCCCGUGAAAUCCCACGGCUCAACCGUGGAAUUGCGGGGCAAACUGCUCGGCUCGAGGAAGGUAGAGGCCGGUAGAACGAUAGGUGGAGCGGUGGAAUGCGUAGAGAUCUAUCGGAAUGCCAAAGGUGAAGACAGCCGGCUGGGCCUUUCCUGACGCUGAGGCACGAAAGCGUGGGGAGCAAACCGGAUUAGAUACCCCAGUAGUCC